rnacentral:rRNA from 1 species
UGGGGAAUAUUGCACAAUGGGCGCAAGCCUGAUGCAGCCAUGCCGCGUGUAUGUAGAAGGCCUUCGGGUUGUAAAGUACUUUCAGCGGGGAGGAAGGGAGUAAAGUUAAUACCUUUGCUCAUUGACGUUACCCGCAGAAGAAGCACCGGCUAACUCCGUGCCAGCAGCCGCGGUAAUACGGAGGGUGCAAGCGUUAAUCGGAAUUACUGGGCGUAAAGCGCACGCAGGCGGUUUGUUAAGUCAGAUGUGAAAUCCCCGGGCUCAACCUGGGAACUGCAUCUGAUACUGGCGAGCUUGAGUCUCGUAGAGGGGGGUAGAAUUCCAGGUGUAGCGGUGAAAUGCGUAGAGAUCUGGAGGAAUACCGGUGGCGAAGGCGGCCCCCUGGAAGAAGACUGACGCUCAGGUGCGAAAGCGUGGGGAGCAAACAGG